rnacentral:rRNA from 1 species
GACGAACGCUGGCGGCGUGCCUAAUACAUGCAGGUAGAACGCUGAAGGAGGAGCUUGCUUCUCUGGAUGAGUUGCGAACGGGUGAGUAACGCGUAGGUAACCUGCCUGGUAGCGGGGGAUAACUAUUGGAAACGAUAGCUAAUACCGCAUAAUAGCAGUUGUUGCAUGACAACUGUUUGAAAGGUGCAAUUGCACCACUACCAGAUGGACCUGCGUUGUAUUAGCUAGUUGGUGGGGUAACGGCUCACCAAGGCGACGAUACAUAGCCGACCUGAGAGGGUGAUCGGCCACACUGGGACUGAGACACGGCCCAGACUCCUACGGGAGGCAGCAGUAGGGAAUCUUCGGCAAUGGACGGAAGUCUGACCGAGCAACGCCGCGUGAGUGAAGAAGGUUUUCGGAUCGUAAAGCUCUGUUGUAAGAGAAGAACGAGUGUGAGAGUGGAAAGUUCACACUGUGACGGUAUCUUACCAGAAAGGGACGGCUAACUACGUG